ACCAACUGAAAAGAGACCCCUCG
rnacentral:siRNA from 1 species